rnacentral:rRNA from 1 species
UACGUAGGUGGCGAGCGUUGUCCGGAUUUACUGGGCGUAAAGAGCGCGCAGGCGGUCGUACAAGUCGCGUGUGAAAACCCCCGGCUCAACUGGGGAGGGUCACGCGAUACUGUUCGACUCGAAGGCAGGAGAGGGAAGUGGAAUUCCCGGUGUAGUGGUGAAAUGCGUAGAUAUCGGGAGGAACACCAGUGGCGAAGGCGACUUCCUGGCCUGUUCUUGACGCUGAGGCGCGAAAGCUAGGGUAGCAAACGGG